AUUGAACGCUGGCGGCAGGCCUAACACAUGCAAGUCGAACGAGUGGCGGACGGGUGAGUACUUUCUGGGAAACUGCCUGAUGGAGGGGGAUAACUACUGGAAACGGUAGCUAAUACCGCAUACCAUCAGAUGUGCCCAGAUGGGAUUGGCGUGUUGGUGGGGUAAAGGCGCACCAAGACGACGAUCCCUAGCUGGUCUGAUAGGAUGACCAGCCACACUGGAACUGGGCCACGGUCCAGACUGCUACGGGAGGCAGCAGUGGGGAAUAUUUCAGGAUGGGCGCAAGCCGGAUGCAGCCAUGCCGGGUGUAUGAAGAAGGCCUUCGGGUUGUAAAGUACUUUCAGCUGGGAGGCGUUACCCGCAGAAGAAGCACCGGCUAACUCCGUGCCAGCAGCCGCGGUAAUAC
rnacentral:rRNA from 1 species